GCCUGAGUGGCUCAGUCGGUUAAGCGUCUGCCUUGAGCUCAGGUCAUGAUCCCAGGGUCCUGGGAUCGAGCCCCAGCUCAGGCU
rnacentral:tRNA from 1 species